UACGGAGGGUGCAAGCGUUAUCCGGAUUCACUGGGUUUAAAGGGUGCGUAGGUGGGCAGGUAAGUCAGUGGUGAAAUCUCUAAGCUUAACUUAGAAACUGCCGUUGAUACUAUCUGUCUUGAAUAUAGUGGAGGUGAGCGGAAUAUGUCAUGUAGCGGUGAAAUGCUUAGAUAUGACAUAGAACACCCAUUGCGAAGGCAGCUCGCUACGCUAUUAUUGACACUGAUGCACGAAAGCGUGGGGAUCAAACAGG
rnacentral:rRNA from 1 species